rnacentral:lncRNA from 1 species
GACACCAGUGUGCUUCCGCCUCAAGGCCUCACUUGUCAUGCCUUGGACGGUUUCCCUGAAUGCCUUCAUGACUUGGUCAGACUUUGCCUCUGCUGACUCCCAGGAGUGCACCCCGCAGGCCCUCCCCUCCACCUUCCCAGAACAUUUAACCCUUCUGACACUUGACACUAAGGGUGAGCUUCAUGACAAGAGGGACCUGUCUUGUUCUCUGAUGGCAAGUGUCAUAAUGAGUGCUCAGGCAAUUCAGUGAAUGGGUUGGUUGUCUGAGAUACAAAGGGAGACCAUGAUUUUGAAAAUGAUGUACUGCGAGAACCAAAUCGACUUGGCGUGCAUCAGCACCUGCAGUGAGAUUAAAAGCACGGCCUCCAUAACUCAAGAAGUCACAGAAAAGCAAAGGUCAAGCACGUUAAUGCAUCUGGAAGACAAUUUAGGUCCGAAAAAAGAAGGACAAGGUAAAAUAAUUUGCCAGGAGGCAGGUUGCACAAAUACUAAGCCCUUCACUGAAGCAGUAAGUGGUGGAAUUCCCUGAAGAAAACCAGUGAUGGAGAAGAGAGGCUCAGGAGGCUGCCCCAGAGCAGAGGGGAGGUCACCCUGUAAAUGAAGAGGGUGAGGACGGAGCUAGGAGGGGAGAAAAAGAAGAAGAUAACAAGAAUCACAUGGUGCCCCCCCAAAUAGAAUGAGCAUCGUGGGUUUUUUGUCUUAUUAAAACUCAAAGUCCU